GAAACCAACAGGGAUUGCCCUAGUAACGGCGAGUGAAGCGGCAACAGCUCAAAUUUGAAAUCUGGCCUUCACGGGUCCGAGUUGUAAUUUGGAGAGGAUGUUUCGGGCACCGCCCCGGUUUAAAUUUCUUGGAACAGAAUGUCAAAGAGGGUGAGAAUCCCGUCUUGAGCCGGUGGUAGGGUCCAUGUGAAACUCCUUCGACGAGUCGAGUUGUUUGGGAAUGCAGCUCAAAAUGGGUGGUAAAUUUCAUCCAAAGCUAAAUAUUGGCCAGAGACCGAUAGCGCACAAGUAGAGUGAUCGAAAGAUGAAAAGCACUUUGAAAAGAGAGUUAAACAGUAUGUGAAAUUGUUGAAAGGGAAGCGCUUGCAAUCAGACUCGAGCGCGGCGGUUCCCCCUGGCUUCUGCCUGGGUUACUCCGUCGUGUCCGGGCCAACAUCGGUUUCGGUGGCCGGUCAAAGGCUUCGGGAAUGUAUCUUCCCUCCGGGGAAGACUUAUAGCCCGAGGUGUCAUGCGGCCCACCGGGACCGAGGAACGCGCUUCGGCGAGGAUGUUGGCGUAAUGGUUGCAAGCGACCCGUCUUGAAACACGGACCAAGGAGUCUAACAUCUAUGCGAGUGUUAGGGUGUCAAACCCUCACGCGUAAUGAAAGUGAACGGAGGUAGGAAGCCUUUACCGGCUGCACUAUCGACCGAUCCUGAUGUCUUCGGAUGGAUUUGAGUAAGAGCAUAGCUGUUGGGACCCGAAAGAUGGUGAACUAUGCGUGAAUAGGGUGAAGCCAGAGGAAACUCUGGUGGAGGCUCGCAGCGGUUCUGACGUGCAAAUCGAUCGUCAAAUUUGCGUAUAGGGGCGAAAGACUAAUCGAACCA
rnacentral:rRNA from 1 species